rnacentral:rRNA from 1 species
GGGUCAGUAGGUUGGUCGUGCCACCGGUACGUACUGGUCUCACUGAUUCCUCCUUCCUGAAGAACAGUAAUGCCAUUAAUUUGGUGUUGCGGGGAAACAGGACUGUUACUUUGAAAAAAUUAGAGUGUUUUAAGCAAGCUAACGCUUGAAUACAUUAGCAUGGAAUAAUGAAAUAGGACGAUCGAUCCUAUUUUGUUGGUUUCUAGGAUUGACGUA